CGCGUGUCUUCCUGAGCCGACUCCCUAUAAUGCGCCUCCAUCGACACGGCGGAUGUGAAUCACUUCACACAAACAGCCGGUUCGGUUGAAGAGAAAAAUCCUGAAAUUCAGGGUUGACUCUGAAAGAGGAAAGCGUAAUAUACGCCACCUCGCGACAGUGAGCUGAAAGCCGCGUCGCAACUGCUCUUUAACAAUUUAUCAGACAAUCUGUGUGGGCACUCGAAGAUACGGAUUCUUAACGUCGCAAGACGAAAAAUGAAUACCAAGUCUCAAGAGUGAACACGUAAUUCAUUACAAAGUUUAAUUCUUUGAGCAUCAAACUUUUAAAUUGAAGAGUUUGAUCAUGGCUCAGAUUGAACGCUGGCGGCAGGCCUAACACAUGCAAGUCGAACGGUAACAGGAAGAAGCUUGCUUCUUUGCUGACGAGUGGCGGACGGGUGAGUAAUGUCUGGGAAACUGCCUGAUGGAGGGGGAUAACUACUGGAAACGGUAGCUAAUACCGCAUAACGUCGCAAGACCAAAGAGGGGGACCUUCGGGCCUCUUGCCAUCGGAUGUGCCCAGAUGGGAUUAGCUAGUAGGUGGGGUAACGGCUCACCUAGGCGACGAUCCCUAGCUGGUCUGAGAGG
rnacentral:ncRNA from 1 species